GAUGAACGCUGGCGGCGUGCCUAAUACAUGCAAGUCGAGCGAAUGGAUUAAGAGCUUGCUCUUAUGAAGUUAGCGGCGGACGGGUGAGUAACACGUGGGUAACCUGCCCAUAAGACUGGGAUAACUCCGGGAAACCGGGGCUAAUACCGGAUAACAUUUUGAACCGCAUGGUUCGAAAUUGAAAGGCGGCUUCGGCUGUCACUUAUGGAUGGACCCGCGUCGCAUUAGCUAGUUGGUGAGGUAACGGCUCACCAAGGCAACGAUGCGUAGCCGACCUGAGAGGGUGAUCGGCCACACGGGGACGGAGACACGGCCCAGACUCCUACGGGAGGCAGCAGUAGGGGAUCUUCCGCAAUGGACGAAAGUCUGACGGAGCAACGCCGCGUGAGUGAUGAAGGCUUUCGGGUCGUAAAACUCUGUUGUUAGGGAAGAACAAGUGCUAGUUGAAUAAGCUGGCAUCUUGACGGUACCUAACCAGAAAGCCACGGCUAACUACGUGCCAGCCGCCGCCGUAA
rnacentral:rRNA from 1 species